UAUAUAAUAGUGAAAACUUUCAACAACGGAUCUCUUGGUUCUGGCAUCGAUGAAGAACGCAGCGAAAUGCGAUAAGUAAUGUGAAUUGCAGAAUUCAGUGAAUCAUCGAAUCUUUGAACGCACAUUGCGCCCGCUAGUAUUCUGGCGGGCAUGCCUGUUCGAGCGUCAUUUCACCUCUCAAGCCUAGCUUGGUGUUGGGGGACGUCCAGCCCUACGGGGCGUGGACCCCCCCUAAAACUAUCGGCGAUUCGGUGCCGGCUCUGAGCGUAGCAGAAACCUCGCUCUGUGGGCCCGGUGUCGCGUUGGCCGCUAACCACUUCUCAAGGUUGACCUCGGAUCAGGUAG
rnacentral:rRNA from 1 species